GAUGAAGAACGCAGCGAAAUGCGAUAAGUAAUGCGAAUUGCAGAUCUCCGUGAGUCAUUGAAUCUUUGAACGCACAUUGCGCCCUCGGGUAUUCCCGAGGGCAUGCCUGUCCGAGCGUCAUUAUCCAACCAUCAAGCUCUGCUUGCGGUUGAGCCCCGCACCGUCCCCGGGACGGUGGGCUCGAAACAUGUUGGGCGCCCGUGAGGUUGUCGGUGCAGCGAGCUCUCGAGCACGUGCCGGGCAACCGCUCUGGGCGUCGGCCAGCCCCCCCAUUUUCUCAGGUUGACCUCGGAUCAGGUAGGAAUACCCGCUGAACUUAAGCAUAUCAAUAAGCGGAGGA
rnacentral:misc_RNA from 1 species